rnacentral:misc_RNA from 1 species
GAUGAAGAACGUAGCGAAAUGCGAUAAGUAGUGUGAAUUGCAGAAUUCAGUGAAUCAUCGAAUCUUUGAACGCACAUUGCGCCCCUUGGUAUCCCGAGGGGCAUGCCUGUUCGAGCGUCAUUUCACCACUCGAGCCUGGCUUGGUGUUGGGCGACGUCCCCUUUGGGGACGCGCCUCGAAACGCUCGGCGGCGUGGCACCGGCUUUAAGCGUAGCAGAAUCUUUCGCUUUGGAAGUCGGGGCCCCGUCUGCCGGAAGACCUACUCGCAAGGUUGACCUCGGAUCAGGCAGGGAUACCCGCUGAACUUAAGCAUAUCAAUAAGCGGAGGA